UACUGAGGGGGCAAGCGUUGUUCGGAAUUACUGGGCGUAAAGGGCGCGUAGGCGGCCUUCUAAGUCGAACGUGAGAUCCCCGGGCUCAACCCGGGAACUGCGUCCGAUACUGGAAGGCUUGAAUUCGGGAGAGGGAUGCGGAAUUCCAGGUGUAGCGGUGAAAUGCGUAGAUAUCUGGAGGAACACCGGUGGCGAAGGCGGCAUCCUGGACCGGCAUUGACGCUGAGGCGCGAAAGCCAGGGGAGCAAACGGG
rnacentral:rRNA from 1 species